ensembl:lncRNA
GGCAUGGUCUGAUGUAUGGAGACAAAGCAUUUGAUUUUCUUAAUUGAGUCUGGUCACUGAAAAUGGUUGUUUCCUUUAUUGUUCUUAAAGAUUCCUUGGCAUUAAGCAUUUUGCCUUUUCUUUUUUUUUUCUUUUUUUUUUUUAAUCCAGAACUUACUAAAAUGCCUGAUCUUGAGCUUUCUUUCUUCUGGUCCUGCUUUUUGUGAAUUUUUUGCCGGUUAAGGAGCAAAAACAGUAAGUGAAACUGUUCCUGUCAGUAAAGAAAGCUAAGCUUUGCUGAUCUGUGCUAAACUCAUUUUAACCUUCUAACUGUGCAACUUGUUUUAUCCUAUAUUCAAAACUCUUUACUUUUUUUCCUUUUUUAAUCUAUGAUCUUUUAUUCCCAUUAUGCUCUUGGGUAGCUCAAGGGUUUUUUCUCAAGCUCAAGAAGUUACUGAGACCAAAUUACACAGGCCACCUCCUUCAAAUCUUGCCCUUCUGCUAACGACUAAAUAGUGUGUUGCUCAGCUGUGGGCCAUCUUCUACAAUGGCUAAAGGAGCUAUUCUUUGUAUAAUAUAUUCUUCUGUGAAACCAAAUCUCUGUAAGUACAGUUUAUGUGGUUCUUCAGUUCAAGAAGCCAUAUUCGGGAGUGAAGAUGCUGAGAUCACCGGAUGCGUCGACAUAAAAUGUUUGUCUGAGGCACCAUCUCUAAAGGUACUUGGAGCAAGAACUUCGAAUCCUUACAAACAGAAGUAUGCAUUAAUAUGUCAUCUUCUGAAGCCUGGCAAUAUAAUUUUGUGGAAUUUUCAAGGGAAAAAAAAGCAUUGUGGUAAAACUGCAGUUAGCUAUGUGUUUACUUAAAGUAAUUUCCUUGAUUUCAAUCUAAUCCUAGUUGUAAUACUUGAAAUCCAAGUAUAGGCAAGGUCCAGCUUCACCACCAUAUCAAACAAAAUGUAACAUCUCUCUUCAGAAUUUACAGGGUAACCAUUGCUUUUGAAAUCUCGAUGUUAGCAGGUUUCUUGCUCGUGUGCCAGACAAAUAAAUGGCAGCUGCUGGAGUGUACUGCUUUUGUAUUUGCUCAGUUUUACCCUGUGAAGCUGUAGGGACAGGAACGUAAGGUCUGUGCCCGAGUGGGGUGAGAAGGAGGCUUUUACUUUCCCCCCAUUUCCGCCUCUUUUUUCCCUUCUGUAAUUGACUAAAAAGCAAAUCCUUUUUGGCUGCUGAAAAGCCAAACUGUUAGAACUUCCAGGCAAAUAGCAAAAAAGGUUUUGUUCCAGAGCAAAGGAAAACAAAAUUAUUUUGAAUUGGAUGUUGAGAGUAAUUUGUGGAUAGUUCAUAGACUUUCUGUGCCGUUACUGGGCAUUGUUUUUACACGUGAGAUAUCUUUCACCGAUCACCAUUGUUAAGGUAUGUGGUACUGGGAUUAGGCUGUGUUUAACGCAGUUGCAUUUCCUGGCACAAGUUUUAUAUAAUUUAUGUAUAGUGAAGACCAUCAAGAUUUUAUGUCUCUAAGGUAAGCACUAAUGUUUUACUAAGAAUAAAUUUUGUUGGGCUCAGCUGUCAUUGGUGGCUUCUGCCCGCUGUCUGAAAAA